CGCCCAUUAAAGCGGUACGCGAGCUGGGUUCAGAACGUCGUGAGACAGUUCGGUCCCUAUCUGUCGUGGGCGCAGGAAAUUUGAGAGGAGCUGUCCUUAGUACGAGAGGACCGGGAUGGACGCACCGCUGGUGCACCAGUUGUUCCGCCAGGAGCACAGCUGGGUAGCUAUGUGCGGUCGGGAUAAGCGCUGAAAGCAUCUAAGCGUGAAGCCCCCCUCAAGAUGAGAUUUCCCACAGCAUAAGCUGGUAAGACCCCUUAAAGAUGAUGAGGUAGAUAGGUUCGGGGUGGAAGCGUGGCAACACGCGGAGCUGACGAAUACUAAUCGGUCGAGGGCUUAACCA
rnacentral:rRNA from 1 species